UACGUAGGGUGCGAGCGUUAAUCGGAAUUACUGGGCGUAAAGGGUGCGCAGGCGGCCGAGCAAGUCGAGUGUGAAAGCCCCGGGCUUAACUUGGGAAUUGCGCUCGAAACUACUUGGCUAGAGUGUGGCAGAGGAAGGUGGAAUUCCACGUGUAGCGGUGAAAUGCGUAGAGAUGUGGAGGAACACCGAUGGCGAAGGCAGCCUUCUGGGCCAACACUGACGCUCAUGCACGAAAGCGUGGGGAGCAAACAGG
rnacentral:rRNA from 1 species